rnacentral:rRNA from 1 species
GACGUAGGGCGCGAGCGUUGUCCGGAUUUAUUGGGCGUAAAGAGCUCGUAGGCGGCUUGUCGCGUCGACUGUGAAAACCCGCGGCUCAACCGCGGGCCUGCAGUCGAUACGGGCAGGCUAGAGUUCGGUAGGGGAGACUGGAAUUCCUGGUGUAGCGGUGAAAUGCGCAGAUAUCAGGAGGAACACCGAUGGCGAAGGCAGGUCUCUGGGCCGGAUACUGACGCUCAUGCACGAAAGCGUGGGGAGCAAACAGG